rnacentral:rRNA from 1 species
UGGUGGAGUGAUUUGUCUGGUUAAUUCCGUUAACGAACGAGACCUCCUGACAGUAGUUGGCUGCGCUCUCCUCUGCGAGUGCUGCAUGCCGCCCUACUUCCACACUCGGUGGGGAGCCGAGGGAGGAUGGAGGCAAUAACA